GUCCCGUUCGUCUAGUGGCCUAGGACACCGCCCUUUCACGGCGGUAACAGGGGUUCGAGUCCCCUACGGGAUGCCA
rnacentral:tRNA from 2 species